rnacentral:rRNA from 1 species
CAGGCGAAGUCAGUGAUCCCAUGCUGCCGAGAAAAGCCUCUAGCGAGUUUCGAGCGGCCCGUACCCCAAACCGACACAGGUGGUCAGGUAGAGAAUACCGAGGCGAUCGGGCGAACUGUGGUUAAGGAACUCGGCAAAUUGCCCCCGUAACUUCGGGAGAAGGGGGGCCACCGAUGGUGAGACCACAUGCUGGUGGAGCGGUUGGUGGCCGCAGAGACCAGGGGGAAGCGACUGUUUACUAAAAACACAGGUCCAUGCGAAGUCGUAAGACGAUGUAUAUGGACUGACGCCUGCCCGGUGCUGGAACGUUAAGGGGACCUGUUAGUCCGUGAGGGCGAGGCGGAGAACUUAAGCGCCAGUAAACGGCGGUGGUAACUAUAACCAUCCUAAGGUAGCGAAAUUCCUUGUCGGGUAAGUUCCGACCUGCACGAAUGGCGUAACGACUUCCCCACUGUCUCAACCACAGGCCCGGCGAAAUUGCAGUACGAGUAAAGAUGCUCGUUACGCGCGGCAGGACGGAAAGACCCCGGGACCUUCACUAUAGCUUGACAUUGGUACUCGAAUUCGAUUGUGUAGGAUAGGUGGGAGCCUGUGAAGCGGCCACGCCAGUGGUUGUGGAGGCAAGCUUGAAAUACCACUCUGUUGGAUUUGGGUAUCUAACUUCGGACCGUGAUCCGGUUCAGGGACAGUGUCUGGUGGUAGUUUAACUGGGGCGGUUGCCUCCUAAAAUGUAACGGAGGCGCCCAAAGGUUCCCUCAGCCUGGUUGGCAAUCAGGUGUUGAGUGCAAGUGCACAAGGGGGCUUGACUGUGAGACUGACAGGUCGAGCAGGGACGAAAGUCGGGACUAGUGAUCCGGCACUGGCAGGUGGAAGCGGUGUCGCUCAACGGAUAAAAGGUACCCCGGGGAUAACAGGCUGAUCUUCCCCAAGAGUCCAUAUCGACGGGAUGGUUUGGCACCUCGAUGUCGGCUCGUCGCAUCCUGGGGCUGGAGUAGGUCCCAAGGGUUGGGCUGUUCGCCCAUUAAAGCGGUACGCGAGCUGGGUUUAGAACGUCGUGAGACAGUUCGGUCCCUAUCCGCCGCGCGCGUAGGAUACUUGAGAAGGGCUGUCCCUAGUACGAGAGGACCGGGACGGACGAAUCUCUGGUGUGCCAGUUGUUCUGCCAAGAGCACGGCUGGUUGGCUACGUUCGGAAGGGAUAACCGCUGAAAGCAUCUAAGCGGGAAGCUCGCUUCGAGAUGAGGUAUCCCACCCCUUGAGGGUUAAGGCCCCCAGUUAGACCACUGGGUUGAUAGGCCGGAAGUGGAAGCCUGGUAACAGGUUUGAGCUGACCGGUACUAAUAGGCCGAGGACUUGACCU